GGAGAGGAACAAGAAGUGAGAGGCCUGCCAGGUCUGGGCGUGUUCCUGCAUGUGGCCCCUGCCCUCCCCGCCCCGCCGGACCCUUCUGGUCCCGUGAGCACCAAGGCAGCGAUUGCAUCGGCUGAGGGAAGGCAGGUGCCCCACACUAUGCAGCAGCCUGGCCGGCUGGGAUUCAGCACUGACAUCCGGCAGGUCUGCAGUGCUCCUUCGCUGGACAGUUCCUAGGUGACCCCAACACUGCAGCUCACAUCAGCAUCUGCAAAGGAGGAUGCAGCCUGGGAAGCCCCUGGAAGCAGAUUUCAGGGCCCAGCAGGGCCUGCUCAGGAACAGCCAUGGCCGUAGCAGUGGGGGGACCAGCCAGCAUGAGCAUCUCGUGGCAGGGAGUGCUCCUGCUAGCAGCUAGAGGGAGUUUUUGGAAAAAUCCAAGCAGCCCAUUCCAAAAAGUCAAAGCAGGAUGUCUGGGCCUUUUCAGAAGGCUCUUCUUUUUUUUUUUUCAUGUCUUUUUAAACGUGCAAUGCUGCUGACACGGGCCGGUUCCCACGGGAGGCUUCAUGUUUGAUGCACUUGAGCUGCCCACUGGAGUGUGGUUAGAUGGCCUUGGGGACUCUGCUCAUGGUCAGCCCCAAACAGAGGGCAGGAGGGGAGUUGCAGUGCAUGGAGAUGGCCAGGUUGCCAGCUUGCCACAACAGCCCCUCUCGGCGGCAGUGCAUAGAAGCAGGACCCAGCAAAGCAGAGUUGCAUCUCCAGAGAGUUGGCAAGCCGCAGUGGGAGCAUCUCCUACUUCCAAACCGCGCAUCAUCCUGAUUGCUUCCUCUGCAGUCCCUGCUGGUCUAGUCUGGUUACCUACAUGCGAGGGAGGCUGCUUGACUUGGCUUCUACAA